CAAACCAGCACUAACGAAGCACAAACGAAUGGUACCAUUUUGGGUCCAUUUUGAGCAGAUGGGGGGCUGGGCGAACUCUGGAUGACCUAUAAAAGAAUCGUUCAUAACUAAAAAAACCAUAGCAGCACAAACGAAAUUUUUGCUGCACAAACCAGCACAAACGAAGCACAAACGAAACAGACUAUUCUGCUUAAAUUUUGCGGGGGGUGGGGGGCCAGCUUCACGCAGGUACAGCACACUGAUAUAAAAUCAAGUUUGCGGCACUACCAGUUCUCCCAAAAGGGAGCGGUAACGCGUAACUUGCCGACAGUCCGCCGGCGAAGAAGAUAAGCUUACCAAAGAAGAAAAAAUACAAUCGCAACGGCGGGCCAACAUGGAGGCAGUUUUUAGCGAUGUUGUCAAAGUCAUAAUUAGAUGUCGACACUGUGAUGAAAGAAAAGCACGCAUCCGCGUCACCAUUGAGCGUCAGUCGAGCACAAGUGCCGUUUGCAAACGAGAUCUUUUGGUAAGAUUGACCAAUGACGAGGAUCCGCAUUUUUUCUUCAGCCUCACAAUCUCUGAGGAAGAUUUCCAAAGGUUUGCCUAAGAAGUAGC